rnacentral:lncRNA from 1 species
AUCUUAUUUUUACUUCCAAAUUGAUAAUUGCACUCAAGGUAACAAUUGGUUUUCUUUUCUUAGAGAUGUACAGUGUUCGAGAGAAGGAGAAACAGAAGAAGAAAAGCAGGAAGGGGGAGAAUAAAUAAUGAAGUACUCGAGCAGAAUUCUUUGAGAGCAUGAGUUCUGUGGAACAACAGCACCAAGUCCAAAGGUCCUGGGAGCUGUUGCAUGUGACUGCGUGGACACACAUCAUUUUUCUCUCCAGUCGCAGGAUACGUUAUAAAGUGAAUGAAAUCUCUUAGGCUAAAGGGCACAUUUUUCAAUGGGACAGAAUGGUCGGGCGUAUUCGCGCCAGUCUCCCACGGACGAUCUCUUGACCCUCAGCUCUAACCCGAACCACACAGUCGGCCAUGAACUUCCGGGCGGUAACCCUUUGGACCGGAAGUGCGCCGUUUCUCUGCACCCGCCGAAGAGCCUGCAGUACGCUGGGUGGGACGGCUGCCGGGAGGGGGCGCUCUGCGCGCGCCGGCGGAAAGCGAAAUUUCCCUGGCCUAAUUUGUGGCCAGAAAGAAUACAGACCGGGUGCUGAUGGCGCUGAUGUGUGUUUCAGCCCCAUCCGCAGAAACAGCAGGAGGGCUCUCUGGCUUGACUUUGUUCAAUGUGAUUAUCACAGGACCGGUUUUCCCUUGCUUCUGAGCUGUUCUCAGAUUUUGCCUGCACCAGUUUUGCCUUCCCGGGUUGCUCAGCGCCCUCCCACCCCGUCAGAGUCCACGGUCUUGGGUGGGUGCUAA